CCCUGUGUGUGCCAGAUAUUAUUGACUACACGAGACCUUUCUCUGUGAUUUCUAUAAUUUUGACACGACUCCCCAAUUCUACCCUGUCCUAAUUCCCAGUUAACUACUACAUUUUACUACUCGAAUUCACUUCGCCAAACAAAGAAUGAUAAUCAAAGCCUUCGUCCAGCAAAAAAACAGUACUACAAAUUCUCGUCUCUGAGACAGAGUCAUCAAGAAGAAGAAGACCCAGUUGGCCUUGCUCUACUUCCAAUGCCUGAAGAUUUCUCUCUACCCAGACAAACCCUGUGAUACAUGUGCUGGAUUUACUGAUCGAGGCAUUGCUUUUAAAGAAGUGAUUAUAACAUGCUCUAAAUGCAGAAUAGCUCAUGAACAUAUUUAUUGCAUGCGGGUUAAUCCCUCCUUGGUCAAGGACUGGGAUCCAGACAAUUGGGUAUGCGAAUCAUGUGAACAGGGCAAUGGGAUGCUUUUUCCAAACUCUAGUAUUAAGGAAGACACAUUAGAGUCAUCAACCAGUAGAGGCCACUAUGAUGGCAUGCAUUCAGCAGGUCCCAGCAGAAAUUGUAAUGGUUCAGGGUGGCAAGCUUACUCUAAGAGGCAAAGGCCUGUUAUGAAUGGAAAAGUUAAGUUCAUUACAAAUGAAGAAGUCAGGAGGCUAUCUUUGGCAGACCCGUCUCAGAAGACUCCUGUUGGGUACAAAACUGUUACUCCAAAGUCUCCUGUUUCCGGGGUUAGAGCAAAUCCUAGCUUUAUACGUUUAGAAAUUGCGAUGCCUCGUAGACAUGGUAGGCCCCAAAGAUGCAAAGCAUCUCAAAGAUUAAUCAGCAAGCAUGUCAAAAUUUAAAACAUUCACAAGAUGCUGAAACUUGUAAGGAGGAGACUGCUUCAAAAAAGAAGUCAUCCACAGUUACAACAUUGAGGAAUUUUUCACCUAUAUCCAGUUCAGGC